GGGGCUGAAUUUUGGGCGCGGGUGUGCCCGUGGCCUAUUUUUGGCACACGGAGGCCGCCCGCAAAGUCUGGGGCCAUUCCGAGUCCGGCGGACGAACUUCGCCCACGCCCCCCACCAAGGCUAUAGCCCACCCGUUUUUUGGCCAUUUUUCCGCCGGGGGGUCUUGGCGCCCCGACCUUCGGGGGCUUAAUUUUGGGCGCGGGUGUGCCCGUGGCCUAUUUUUGGCACACGGAGGCCGCCCGCAAAGUCUGGGGCCAUUCCGAGUCCGGCGGAAGAACUUCGCCCACGUCCCCCACCAAGGCUAUAGCCCACCCAUUUUUUGGCCAUUUUUCCGCUGGGGGGUCUUGGCGCCCCGACCUUCGGGGGCUGAUUUUUGGGCGCGGGUGUGCCCGUGGCCUAUUUUUGGCACACGGAGGCCGCCCGCAAAGUCUGGGGCCAUUCCGAGUCCGGCGGACGAACUUCGCCCACGCCCCCCACCAAGGCUAUAGCCCACCCGUUUUUUGGCCAUUUUUCCGCUGGGGGGUCUUGGCGCCCCGACCUUCGGGGGCUGAAUUUUGGGCGCGGGUGUGCCCGUGGCCUAUUUUUGGCACACGGAGGCCGCCCGCAAAGUCUGGGGCCAUUCCGAGUCCGGCGGACGAACUUCGCCCACGCCCCCCACCAAGGCUAUAGCCCACCCGUUUUUUGGCCAUUUUUCCGCUGGGGGGUCUUGGCGCCCCGACCUUCGGGGGCUGAUUUUUGGGCGCGGGUGUGCCCGUGGCCUAUUUUUGGCACACGGAGGCCGCCCGCAAAGUCUGGGGCCAUUCCGAGUCCGGCGGACGAGCUUCGCCCACGCCCCCCACCAAGGCUAUAGCCCACCCGUUUUUUGGCCAUUUUUCCGCUGGGGGGUCUUGGCGCCCCGAUCUUCGGGGGCUUAAUUUUGGGCGCGGGUGUGCCCGUGGCCUAUUUUUGGCACACGGAGGCCGCCCGCAAAGUCUGGGGCCAUUCCGAGUCCGGCGGACGAACUUCGCCCACGUCCCCCACCAAGGCUAUAGCCCACCCAUUUUUUGGCCAUUUUUCCGCUGGGGGGUCUUGGCGCCCCGACCUUCGGGGGCUGAUUUUUGGGCGCGGGUGUGCCCGUGGCCUAUUUUUGGCACACGGAGGCCGCCCGCAAAGUCUGGGGCCAUUCCGAGUCCGGCGGACGAACUUCGCCCACGCCCCCCACCAAGGCUAUAGCCCACCCGUUUUUUGGCCAUUUUUCCGCUGGGGGGUCUUGGCGCCCCGACCUUCGGGGGCUGAUUUUUGGGCGCGGGUGUGCCCGUGGCCUAUUUUUGGCACACGGAGGCCGCCCGCAAAGUCUGGGGCCAUUCCGAGUCCGGCGGACGAGCUUCGCCCACGCCCCCCACCAAGGCUAUAGCCCACCCGUUUUUUGGCCAUUUUUCCGCUGGGGGGUCUUGGCGCCCCGACCUUCGGGGGCUGAUUUUUGGGCGCGGGUGUGCCCGUGGCCUAUUUUUUGCACACGGAGGCCGCCCGCAAAGUCUGGGGCCAUUCCGAGUCCGGCGGACGAACUUCGCCCACGCCCCCCACCAAGGCUAUAGCCCACCCGUUUUUUGGCCAUUUUUCCGCUGGGGGGUCUUGGCUCCCCGACCUUCGGGGGCUGAUUUUUGGGCGCGGGUGUGCCCGUAGCCUAUUUUUGGCACACGGAGGCCGCCCGCAAAGUCUGGGGCCAUUCCGAGUCCGGCGGACGAACUUCGCCCACGCCCCCCACCAAGGCUAUAGCCCACCCGUUUUUUGGCCAUUUUUCCGCUGGGGGGUCUUGGCGCCCCGACCUUCGGGGGCUGAAUUUUGGGCGCGGGUGUGCCCGUGGCCUAUUUUUGGCACACGGAGGCCGCCCGCAAAGUCUGGGGCCAUUCCGAGUCCGGCGGACGAACUUCGCCCACGCCCCCCACCAAGGCUAUAGCCCACCCGUUUUUUGGCCAUUUUUCCGCUGGGGGGUCUUGGCGCCCCGACCUUCGGGGGCUGAUUUUUGGGCGCGGGUGUGCCCGUGGCCUAUUUUUGGCACACGGAGGCCGCCCGCAAAGUCUGGGGCCAUUCCGAGUCCGGCGGACGAACUUCGCCCACGCCCCCCACCAAGGCUAUAGCCCACCCGUUUUUUGGCCAUUUUUCCGCUGGGGGGUCUUGGCGCCCCGACCUUCGGGGGCUGAAUUUUGGGCGCGGGUGUGCCCGUGGCCUAUUUUUAGCACACGGAGGCCGCCCGCAAAGUCUGGGGCCAUUCCGAGUCCGGUGGACGAACUUCGCCCACGCCCCCCACCAAGGCUAUAGCCCACCCGUUUUUUGGCCAUUUUUCCGCUGGGGGGUCUUGGCGCCCCGACCUUCGGGGGCUGAAUUUUGGGCGCGGGUGUGCCCGUGGCCUAUUUUUGGCACACGGAGGCCGCCCGCAAAGUCUGGGGCCAUUCCGAGUCCGGCGGACGAACUUCGCCCACGCCCCCCACCAAGGCUAUAGCCCACCCGUUUUUUGGCCAUUUUUCCGCUGGGGGGUCUUGGCGCCCCGACCUUCGGGGGCUGAAUUUUGGGCGCGGGUGUGCCCGUGGCCUAGUUUUGGCACACGGAGGCCGCCCGCAAAGUCUGGGGCCAUUCCGAGUCCGGCGGACGAACUUCGCCCACGCCCCCCACCAAGGCUAUAGCCCACCCGUUUUUUGGCCAUUUUUCCGCUGGGGGGUCUUGGCGCCCCGACCUUCGGGGGCUGAUUUUUGGGCGCGGGUGUGCCCGUGGCCUAUUUUUGGCACACGGAGGCCGCCCGCAAAGUCUGGGGCCAUUGCGAGUCCGGCGGACGAACUUCGCCCACGCCCCCCACCAAGGCUAUAGCCCACCCGUUUUUUGGCCAUUUUUCCGCUGGGGGGUCUUGGCGCCCCGACCUUCGGGGGCUGAAUUUUGGGCGCGGGUGUGCCCGUGGCCUAUUUUUGGCACACGGAGGCCGCCCGCAAAGUCUGGGGCCAUUCCGAGUCCGGCGGACGAGCUUCGCCCACGCCCCCCACCAAGGCUAUAGCCCACCCGUUUUUUGGCCAUUUUUCCGCUGGGGGGUCUUGGCGCCCCGACCUUCGGGGGCUGAUUUUUGGGCGCGGGUGUGCCCGUGGCUUAUUUUUUGCACACGGAGGCCGCCCGCAAAGUCUGGGGCCAUUCCGAGUCCGGCGGACGAACUUCGCCCACGCCCCCCACCAAGGCUAUAGCCCACCCGUUUUUUGGCCAUUUUUCCGCUGGGGGGUCUUGGCUCCCCGACCUUCGGGGGCUGAU
rnacentral:lncRNA from 1 species